AUGAACGCUGGCGGCGUGCCUAAUACAUGCAAGUCGAGCGAACAGACGAGGAGCUUGCUCCUCUGACGUUAGCGGCGGACGGGUGAGUAACACGUGGAUAACCUACCUAUAAGACUGCGAUAACUUCGGGAAACCGGAGCUAAUACCGGAUAAUAUAUUGAACCGCAUGGUUCAAUAGUGAAAGACGGUUUUGCUGUCACUUAUAGAUGGAUCCGCGCCGCAUUAGCUAGUUGGUAAGGUAACGGCUUACCAAGGCAACGAUGCGUAGCCGACCUGAGAGGGUGAUCGGCCACACUGGAACUGAGACACGGUCCAGACUCCUACGGGAGGCAGCAGUAGGGAAUCUUCCGCAAUGGGCGAAAGCUUGACGGAGCAACGCCGCGUGAGUGAUGAAGGUCUUCGGAUCGUAAAACUCUGUUAUUAGGGAAGAACAAAUGUGUAAGUAACUAUGCACGUCUUGACGGUACCUAAUCAGAAAGCCACGGCUAACUACGUG
rnacentral:rRNA from 1 species